rnacentral:lncRNA from 1 species
AAAACACAAAACAGAGGACUGGUCACAAGCAGAGGAAGUAAUAGUCUGCAUCAACAGUUUAUCCAUAGCAUUUAACAGGGAAUUCUCAUCUGCAAGACAGAUACCAAGCAGAUGAUUAAUUAGUUUUCAAUUCAGAACAAUGAUUUCAUCCUAUUUGAUAAACUCUCAAACAGAGCUGAAUUGCCCCUGUAUGAACUCCCCUGACAUGAGGGCAUCAUUACAGGUUUACUUAAAACCUCUUCUUUUCUGUUUCAGAUGUCUUUUGCUGCAGAUUUUUUUUGUUUUCGUUUAUAUUCACAAGGUUUCUGUGAAGAGAGGGAUGUUUCUUAAAUCUCCAGGCAAGAUGAGUGCUGCAUACCUUGACUCCAGCCAUGACAACACAAUUCCCAUGAAGCAGCCCUUGAAAAUCACUCUGGAGCUCACACAGCAGGAGACUGAAGAGCAUAAACCCAAUGCAAGCCCAAGCUUCCUUACACAUAAUUCCUUAGCUCUGUGGGGCUGCAUGCCCGUCUUUGGCCCACCCUGGUGUACCCUUGUUACAGGAGUGUGGCAAAAAUGGGGGUUCUGAAUUGAUCCAGGUCUGUUCUGGGCCUCUGCAAGUGUCUGAAGGAACUGUGUCUAUCUGGAAAAAAGAUUGAGCUUGUAAUAUGCAUAGAGGACAUCUUCAAAUCUAAACCAUUUGAAAAACCAAAAAAGGAAGUAGCACCUACUUCUUUCCAUGCCGUACUGAUGUAGCUGUACUCAACACCCAAUGCAGUGAGGAGUGGAUGUGCUAUUCAGCAGUCCUCCUCAUCAAGGACUUAGCAAUACUCAGUUUUCUUUAUACACACUGACACAUUUAGGCCUCCAUGGAGCUGUAACAUUUCAUUUUACCUCAGUGACGCUUCCAAUGUUCUGAAAGUGGAGUUUCAAAUGCAAGUUUUCACCCAGAAACUGAUUACCCAAAAGAUUUAAGUACAACAGAACAAAACAUAAUACCAUAUCUUUGCAUUUGCUUCUUUUUACCUCUUACAUGAAAGGUAUUUACUGACACGUCUCUCCCUUCUUGGUAAGUUUGGUGUGCACCUAAUAAUAAUCUCCAGAUAAGUGCAGUUGUGAAGGUAUCACAACCUUAUUGUUGCUAAAUGUUUUAUAGAUAUUGUAAUGAGUAAUAAAGUAAAAUUUAUUUUAAUUAAAUGCUUCCA